rnacentral:rRNA from 1 species
AGUGAACGCUGGCGGUAGGCCUAACACAUGCAAGUCGAACGGCAGCACAGUAAGAGCUUGCUCUUACGGGUGGCGAGUGGCGGACGGGUGAGGAAUACAUCGGAAUCUACUUUUUCGUGGGGGAUAACGUAGGGAAACUUACGCUAAUACCGCAUACGACCUACGGGUGAAAGCAGGGGAUCUUCGGACCUUGCGCGAUUGAAUGAGCCGAUGUCGGAUUAGCUAGUUGGCGGGGUAAAGGCCCACCAAGGCGACGAUCCGUAGCUGGUCUGAGAGGAUGAUCAGCCACACUGGAAAUGAGAAACGGUCCAGAAUCCUAAGGGAGGCAGCAGUGGGGAAUAUUGGACAAUGGGCGCAAGCCUGAUCCAGCCAUACCGCGUGGGGGAAGAAGGCCUUCGGGUUGUAAAGCCCUUUUGUUGGGAAAGAAAAGCAGCAGGUUAAUACCCCGCUGUUCUGACGGUACCCAAAGAAUAAGCACCGGCUAACUUCGUG